rnacentral:rRNA from 1 species
AGCUAAUAGAUACCCAGGUAGUCCACGCCCUAAACGAUGUCUACUAGUUGUUGGUGGAGUAAAAUCCAUGAGUAAACGCAGCUAACGCGUGAAGUAGACCGCCUGGGGAGUACGGUCGCAAGAUUAAAACUCAAAGGAAUUGACGGGGGCCCGCACAAGCGGUGGAUUAUGUGGAUUAAUUCGAUGCAACGCGAAAACCUUAACCUGGCCUUGACAUGCCACUAACGAAGCAGAGAUGCAUUAGGUGCCCGUAACGGGAAAGUGGACACAGGUGCUGCAUGGCUGUCGUCCGCUCGUGUCGUGAGAUGUUGGGUUAAGUCCCGCAACGAGCGCAACCCUUGCCAUUAAUUGCCAUCAUUUAGUUGGGCACUUUAAUGGGACUGCCGGUGACAAACCGGAGGAAGGUGGGGAUGACGUCAAGUCCUCAUGGCCCUUAUGGCCAGGGCGUUCACACGUAAUACAAUGGUCGGUACAGAGAGUUGCCAACCCGCGAGGGGGAGCUAAUCUCAGAAA